rnacentral:rRNA from 1 species
CAGUAGCCGCGGGAACACGAAGGGUGCAAGCGUUACUCGGAAUUACUGGGCGUAAAGCGUGCGUAGGUGGUGGUUUAAGUCCGUUGUGAAAGCCCUGGGCUCAACCUGGGAAUUGCAGUGGAUACUGGGUCACUAGAGUGUGGUAGAGGAUAGUGGAAUUUCCGGUGUAGCAGUGAAAUGCGUAGAGAUCGGAAGGAACAUCUGUGGCGAAGGCGACUAUCUGGGCCGACACUGACACUGAGGCACGAAAGCGUGGGGAGCAAACAGGAUUAGAUACCCCGGUAGUCCCUGUCUCUUAUAC